UGGGCGUUGGAUCUUCAAGGGAGAAGAGAGGAAGAAGAGAGAGGGGGUGUAGGGACCUUCUAAGGGAGGCAUGGGGUGCUGGAAUUCAAUGCUUAGGAGCCUUAGAGAAGGUCCCUUUAAAUAGGCAUAAGGUUUGAAUCCUAUUCAAAACUAAACAACCACUUAAUACAAAUCUUACUUGCAUUAGAAAUUCUUAUUCCUUUAGUUAUUUGACCCCCUUUAGAAAAUUAUUUUGGCGCCAACUAUUGAAGCCCUUGCACCCAUAAAUACACAUGCCACAUGGGGCCUAGGGGACGCCCCAUGCUGGUCCAACAUGCCCUCUAAUGGGUGGGCACUCCC
rnacentral:lncRNA from 1 species